UACUAGAGUAGCACUCGCAUAUCAAUAAGCGGAGGAAAAGAAACUAACAAGGAUUCCCCUAGUAACGGCGAGUGAAGCGGGAAGAGCUCAAAUUUGAAAUCUUAAAGGGUUUCCCUUUACGAAUUGUAGUUUAAAGAAGUGUUUUCUGUUGAGGUUUUGGUAAAAGUUCUUUGGAAUAGGACAUCAUAGAGGGUGAGAAUCCCGUAUUUGACCUUUACUUUCAACUUUGUGAUACACUUUCAAAGAGUCGGAUUGUUUGGGAAUGCAGUCCAAAAUGGGUGGUAAAUUUCAUCUAAAGCUAAAUAUUGGCGAGAGACCGAUAGCGAACAAGUACCGUGAGGGAAAGAUGAAAAGAACUUUGAAAAGAGAGUUAAACAGUACGUGAAAUUGUCAAAAGGGAAGCGUUUGACACCAGUGUUGUUUUUCUGAAAAUCAAUUAAAGAACUGUUUAUGCUAAGCUGUUUAGACUUUAUCAGCUAAUCUGUCUAGUUUUGAGCUUUUCUUUAAUGCACUUUUCAGUUAACAAGUCAACAUCAAUUUCUUUUGCUGUAAAAAAGCUUGAGGAAGGUGGCUUGAGAUUCGUCUUAAGUGUUUAUAGCCUCUUGCCUAUGCAGUCGGAGAGAUUGAGGUCUGCAGCGUAGAUCCUUCGGGGCUAAAUGCAUUUGUGCUAAGUUAUAGCAUUUUAUAGACAACUUGUUGACUAUGAUUUGUCUUGUAGCUUACUCGCUUAUGUUAUUUUACCUACGCUUAGGAUGUUGAUCUCUCACAGUCGAGC
rnacentral:rRNA from 1 species